GACGAACCGUGCAAACGUUAUUCGGAAUCACUGGGCUUAAAGCGUGCGUAGGCGGCUCAGAAAGUUGGGGGUGAAAUCCCUCGGCCUAACCGAGGAAUUGCGCCCAAAACUACUGGGCUUGAGGGAGUUAGAGGUGAGCGGAACUCACGGUGGAGCGGUGAAAUGCGUUGAUAUCGUGAGGAACACCGGAGGCGAAAGCGGCUCACUGGGGCUUAGCUGACGCUGAGGCACGAAAGCUAGGGGAGCAAACGGG
rnacentral:rRNA from 1 species